rnacentral:rRNA from 1 species
GCUCAGAUUGAACGCUGGCGGCAUGCUUUACACAUGCAAGUCGAACGGUAACAGGUCUUCGGAUGCUGACGAGUGGCGAACGGGUGAGUAAUACAUCGGAACGUGCCUAGUAGUGGGGGAUAACUACUCGAAAGAGUAGCUAAUACCGCAUGAGAUCUACGGAUGAAAGCAGGGGACCUUCGGGCCUUGUGCUACUAGAGCGGCUGAUGGCAGAUUAGGUAGUUGGUGGGGUAAAGGCUUACCAAGCCUGCGAUCUGUAGCUGGUCUGAGAGGACGACCAGCCACACUGGGACUGAGACACGGCCCAGACUCCUACGGGAGGCAGCAGUGGGGAAUUUUGGACAAUGGGCGAAAGCCUGAUCCAGCAAUGCCGCGUGCAGGAUGAAGGCCCUCGGGUUGUAAACUGCUUUUGUACGGAACGAAAAGCCUGGGGCUAAUAUCCCCGGGUCAUGACGGUACCGUAAGAAUAAGCACCGGCUAACUACGUGCCAGCAGCCGCGGUAAUACGUAGGGUGCAAGCGUUAAUCGGAAUUACUGGGCGUAAAGCGUGCGCAGGCGGUUUUGUAAGACAGUGGUGAAAUCCCCGGGCUCAACCUGGGAACUGCCAUUGUGACUGCAAGGCUAGAGUGCGGCAGAGGGGGAUGGAAUUCCGCGUGUAGCAGUGAAAUGCGUAGAUAUGCGGAGGAACACCGAUGGCGAAGGCAAUCCCCUGGGCCUGCA